GACGAACGCUGGCGGCGUGCUUAACACAUGCAAGUGGAGCGACGAACCAGGGCUUGCCCUGGGGCAAAGCCGCGAACGGGUGAGUAACACGUGGGUAACCUACCCCGAUGACCGGGACAACCCGAGGAAACUCGGGCUAAUACCGGAUGUGCUCCUUGACCUUGAGGUCAAGGCGUAAAGAUAGCUUCGGCCUUCGCAUCGGGACGGGCCCGCGGCCCAUUAGCUUGUUGGUGGGGUAACGGCCUACCAAGGCGACGAUGGGUAGCUGGUCUGAGAGGACGAUCAGCCACACUGGGACUGAGACACGGCCCAGACUCCUACGGGAGGCAGCAGUGGGGAAUCUUGCACAAUGCGCGAAAGCGUGAUGCAGCAACGCCGCGUGGGGGAAGAAGGCCUUCGGGUUGUAAACCCCUUUCAGUUGGGACGAAGCUUCGCCGGUGAAUAGCCGGCUGGAGUGACGGUACCUUCACAAGAAGCCCCGGCUAACUACGUGCCAGCCGCCGCAGUAAAAC
rnacentral:rRNA from 1 species